CAUGAAAAUUUUAGGAACCAGGCAAGAUAAUCAAAUAUUCAGGAUAGUUUGGUGCAAAUAAGAAGGUAGACCCCUAACUGACCUCUAAUGUGGUCCUUUCCAAUCUGGUUACUGGCACUCCCACUACCAAUCACUGAUAACUCACACUAAUAAGACCUCUAAAACCAUCUCCUUUCACCUUCUUUUAUAGGUGAAGAAACUAAAGGUCAGAGAAUUGAAGGGACAAAUCUCAAAGAAGCACAGUCAAAUGGAAAAACCAAGAGUAGAAUCUGGGUCUUCUGGCUCCCACCAGCGCUCCUCCUGCUACCACUUGGCCCCCUGAAUCACAUGAUCUCUGAGGAGGGAGGAACAGGACUUCUCAGGGCAGGGAGAAUGAGCUAUCCUCUGAGCUGAGCCUGGCUUGAGCUAUCCACCUGCCUCUGCAACUUGAUGCAUGGAAUCCCAGGACUUCCAUUAGCUAUUUUAGCUGGAACUAGAGAUGGAGUCUCCUGGCUUUCAACUUCAUCCAGAUGCUUUCAUGAAAGUAAAGAAGAAAAGGAAACAGUG